rnacentral:lncRNA from 1 species
AGUACAAUUUGUAAAUUACAAAGUAGUUGGUGUAACGGAAUAGAUGAUUGUCCUUACGGUGACGACGAAACAGCUGAGUUAUGUGUCGAUUUAAACGGAGAUUGGAGUUGGUUCUUUAAGCAGGAUAAACUUACAGAGAUGCAAAAUGACGAUUGUGUGAUCGAAGAUACUCCCGAAGGAUGCAUCUACAAUCAAUGUCGUGCGACUUGCAAAGAAUACGAAAAAAUUCCACAAAAUUUGUCACCAGAA